rnacentral:rRNA from 1 species
UACGUAGGGUGCGAGCGUUGUCCGGAAUUAUUGGGCGUAAAGAGCUCGUAGGUGGCUUGUCACGUCGGGUGUGAAAUCCCAGGGCUUAACUCUGGGUCUGCAUUCGAUACGGGCAGGCUAGAGUUCGGUAGGGGAGACUGGAAUUCCUGGUGUAGCGGUGAAAUGCGCAGAUAUCAGGAGGAACACCGGUGGCGAAGGCGGGUCUCUGGGCCGAUACUGACGCUGAGGAGCGAAAGCGUGGGGAGCGAACAGG